UUUGAUAAAAAAAUUUCAAUUGCCCUUUUCUUGGAUUUUCAAUUCAAAACCCCUUUAGUCUCAGGGCGCCAUUUGCGGGUUUUCACCUUGGCCUCUCAUUUUUGUUUUUCUUUUCUUUCUUUUUUUUCACUCUUUUUUUAAGUGAAGUAUUUCUUGACUGAAUUUGAGUUUACUGGAUUAGUCAGGCUCUUGCCGUCCAUCUUAGUUAAUAUUAACGCUUCUCCGGAAAAUGCCUUCUUUACCACAUAAGGUCAUUCCCAGAUUGGCAUCCAUUUUCCUCUGAAAUCUUUUUGUAUGGGAAUGAUCUUCUUC
rnacentral:lncRNA from 1 species